UGAGGAACAUGACUUUCGGCGGGGGAUAGCCGGCCCAACGGCCGGGUAAUACCGCGUACGACCACAUGGGGACAUCCCUGAGUGGUGAAAGCAGCAAUGCGCCGAUGGAGUGCCUCGCGGCCUAUCAGCUAGUUGGUGAGGUAACGGCUCACCAAGGCGACGACGGGUAGCUGGUCUGAGAGGAUGGCCAGCCACAGUUGGGACUGAGACACGGCCCAGACCUCGUACGGGGAGG
rnacentral:rRNA from 1 species